UAAGGAGAAAUCGAAGAGUUCUCUUCCUCCACCCUUUCCCCUCCCCUCCUCUGAGUAGUCUUAUUUUUGGAGGCUGCGCAGGAAGCUUUUCAGCACAGGAAAGAUCAUCUCACAGUAAGAGGGGGGAAAGAAAAUAACAGUAGCUGUCAUCCAGGAUGGAAGGGGGUGGGUGAUGCUUCAGGUUCUCCCUGAAAUGUCGGCAGGAGAAUUCAAAGGAUCCCCGAUGUCUCUCCUGCUUUCCUUUCCCUUCUACACUUUGACCCCCCCACCCCACCCCCAGCCAUGCCUCACUCUAUGUCUCCCAAAUGACAGACUCUAGUUAAUUUGGCCUUGGCUUUCACCAAGCAGCUGAUGCAGAGGAGGCCGCAGUUUGCCGGACUCGCAAAGUGGACACUAGAGAGAAAGAAGGAAGGGGAAAAAAGCAGCUGUUGAGAGUUUUAGCCUUUUUUUCCCCCCCUCUCUAUGGAGAUUUUGGCUGAACAGUUUUUAAAAAUGCAGUUGGCCGUUUUGUACCCCCUACCCGCCUUUGCUUUUUUUCCUCUUCUUAUGUCAAACUGCAAACUGCAGAACGAUAGACGUAAGGUAAUAUUCCCCACGCCAGCCUCAGCCCUGUCCCUGUUCCUCUCCAUUGAAAUUCCUCACCCUGGCUACCUCCUGUUCCCUUCCCACCUCUUUUGGCUGCUGUUCCUGAAGGCUGAAGCCCCUGGAUACUCCAAAUGGCUGAUCCAAUAGCCCCUUCCCCAGAAAUCCUUUCCCCAUCAAGAGACUCAGAUUGCAGAGAUUGCUACAUUAAUGGAUGCUGAAGCUACUAAGAUGUUGAAACAAAGGAUGUGAUCAACUGGAAACAUCCCUCCUGCUAAAAGUGACAUCUAGAAGGUUGUUGAAGAAUUAAUUUGUAGUUGGAUGCAACACUUACAUUUUUUGGAUGAUCAGCCAUGCGGAAAAACAAAUGUACCUGAGAAGACUUUAAGAAAAGCACAUGUAUCUCCUGUUCCCACAAUAAAAAUGUGUGUACCAACUGUGUAACUAUU